rnacentral:rRNA from 1 species
CCUACGGGUGGCUGCAGUCGAGAAUCUUUCACAAUGGGGGCAACCCUGAUGGAGCGACGCCGCGUGGAGGAUAAGGUCUUCGGAUUGUAAACUCCUGUCAUGCGAGAACAAGGUUGCAGGGCUAACACCUUUGCAAAUUGAUGGUACCGCAAGAGGAAGAGACGGCUAACUCUGUGCCAGCAGCCGCGGUAAUACAGAGGCCUCAAGCGUUGUUCGGAGUCGUGCGGAGGUGGCGGUGUAAGUCAGGUGUGAAAGCCCGGGGCUCAACCUCGGAAUUGCAUCCGAUACUGCCAUGCUGGAGUACUGAAGAGGUGACUAGAAUUCUAGGUGUAGCAGUGAAAUGCGUAGAUAUCUAGAGGAAUACCAACGGCGAAGGCAGGUCACUGGGCAGUUACUGACACUGAGGCACGAAGGCCAGGGGAGCAAACGGGAUUAGAUACCCCAGUAGUC